CAGGCAUCAGGCACCAGCGCACCAACAGCAACCAUCGUUGCUUUUGCUGGUGAUUAAGCUGGUGCUUAUUUUGGUGCCUCCACGCCUUCGGAAAUGUUUUGGAAUACAUUCACAAAUAAGUAAGGCAAAGUCAUAAACUCAACGAUAAGCUAAAUAUAAAAUUGUGAUUGGACUGCCGGAACGGACAAGAGAGUCCUGAGCAAAAACGGGGGAACUUCCAAGGCAUCAUCAUCAUCGGUAGAUUGUCUACCAUUUGCACGAUCUAUUUAAGUUAAUUUGCAGUCGAGACAUAGCCCCGGGGAAUCUAUCAAAUUAUAGCUAAUUAUUUUCGAUAAUUAUUUAGUUAAAACCCCCCCAUGGGACAACGCAUACUGUUGACUGGUGAUAGUUCACAUGAAAUCCCAGAUCCCAGAUCCCAGCUCCCAGAGCAAUGUGUCAAUCUCUUGGCCCCCAAAACACGUCAGCAGGCGGUGGUCCUUGCCAGCCCAACAAAAUCCCCCACGCUGAUGUGAUUUUGUUUUUUAUGUUUCGGUUUGUUUGUCGCACGUGACGCAAAAUCGCGAGAGAAAAAACAAACAAAAAGUGUGUGAUAAAGAAACCAUAAACAGAAAAAACCAAAACAAAAAUGCGAACGAGGCGAGUCGCGCGGCUAUUUUGCAUAUUCAAAUGAACAAUUUUAACUGCUAAAUGCGGAGCGAUACGAGAUGAACGAAGAGAUACAGAUGCCAGCCGAUACCAGCCAUAGCCGGCGUCAUCUUUGGCCCCCAGGUGAAUCAGCCAGAAACGAGUUCGAUAUGGCUUAGAAAGCGACAGCCGGUGGAGCGUACGACGUCGUCGUCCAGUCUCUCUGUGGCAUGUGAUUGAUACAUCAGCGUUGUGUUGUGUGGACUCCCCCUGACAGCUCAUCCACAUGGACACUGCUCCACUCCACCCCACGCCGUUUUGGGUGGCAUUUGGGAAAGCAAAACCUCAAUAUUAUACAAUAAUUAGCAACGAAAACGAUUGCCAUUUGUAAUUAAUGCACAUAAUUGCCCUCUAGAAUGGAAAAAAAUUAAAUAUUGAGCAUUUUUGAAAUGGAUUCGUAAUUGUAUUAUUAAUUGCACUUAAUUGAAUUAUGAAUAAUAUUUGAUUUGCUUUGAGUUGCUUUCAAUUGAUUCAUAGGAAGUGGAGUCCCUGCAACAGAUUCACUUUAUUCUCGGAAGUUUUCAGCAAGGGCACAUGACGAGGGCUGGGAAAUCACUGGGAGCUGCUCAGCGGCAAGGCUGCAAGAUUAUGGGAAAUGCGAAAAGUGGGAAAUGAAACGCAGCUGGGAAGGUUGAAAAAAAAAGUUGUGGUCUGUGGGUAGGAGCAUCUGGGGUAAAUCUGCGGCUGUGUUUUCUCACUGAAUUAUGUGCGGAUUUAUGUGGAAAACAUGACUAUAAGCAGCAUACAAAUCUAAAUAUGUAUUAUACAUUUUACAACCAAGUUCUCUCCAUAAUUUAUGCUAAAUUUUCAGCAAUCUUUCCUACCGCUCCUCAUCUAACCAUUCUGCUAUUUAUCUACACUUUUAUCUACAUUUUUAUUCUAUUUCUAUUAGCCCAACAGCACUCCGGCUUUCUCAAUUCUCAGACGAAUCCAAUGGCCAACAGGAACUGCUUUCGCCGCAGCGUUUUUUGGCCAUUUCAUGCUGACAAUUAUGAUCGAUGGAAUGGCUACAAAAAGAAACAAAACUGUACAUCGAUGCCCCCCCACCAACUGGACUACGUGACUGAAUCAAACUUAAAUAUUAUCUCUUUUUUUUUGUAUUAGAACAAAGCCCUCCAUCUGUGUUUUGUGUGUGUGGCACAGUAGAAAUCAAAUAAAAUCCGC
rnacentral:lncRNA from 1 species